rnacentral:misc_RNA from 1 species
ACUUUGUUAAUAAGCCUCCUGCAUAUUGGACAUAUUUUGCCUUCCCCCUCCAUAAUCCUUUGAGCACAGUCAUAGCACGUGGCACAAUGACCACAAGGAACAAAAAAGCAGUUUCUUUGUUCAUCAUAACAGAUCACACACAAUUUAGCAUCGUACAAAUCCUCUGAAGAAGUACUAGAUGAUCCAUCUUCUUCAUCUUCUUCAUUGGUUCCAUAUGUGAAAGGAACUGGCUUUUGUGGCAAUAUAGGUUCAGUCUCAGAAACUUGCCUUGGUGCUGUAUCUACCAUAUUACCCUCAGAAUCACAGGCUCCAAGAUAUUUCAAAACCAGGAAAAUGAUAACAAUUAUAAAUCCUGAAGGCCACAAAAACAGUUAAGGAUAUGGUUAUAGAAACUUUCCAGGAUUACUUAAAGCAUAAGUUCUGUGUAAUUCUGUACCUAAAAUAGCAAUGUAAGUUAUUACUCGAGCUACAAAAGAUAGCUCAAUGUACCAUCCACCUAGAUCCCCCUGCAGUCAAUUAAUUAAUCAAUGUUCUGUUUUGGGGGGAAAUUGAGACAUGUGAGAAAGGGAUGAGGCCUUACAUUAUCAGGUGUGGUUACUACAACAUAUUGAGCCUUUGGAAAUGGAAGCAUGAGACGGCAUGAUCCCUUUAUUGUUGAGCAGAUGUUCCUCGCUUUCGAAAGAUCAUAGAGUUUUGAUCUAACAUUUACAUCUACUUUCAUUAUGAUGCUUCUGGGAUUUGUGUUUACCAGACCAAGAUAGUACUUGUCAUCCUCCUGGAUAGUGUACUCAGCAUCUUUACCUGAAAAUUUAUGCACAUACUACGUCUUUCUGAUAAGGAGCUGAGUAAUUGACAAGAUGUUAGCAAAAUAAGGGACUAAGUGACUGCAGUUGCAGACUACUCUUGCCAAUUUGCAUAUUACAUCAAGGACUGGGACAUGCAGACACCCCUGUCCAUCACAGAAGCUAAGCAUUACCUCUACUUACAAUCUACCCUUUUUUUUUUAGAAAACAGCAUUACUAACUUCAAUUAAUUAUUUUGAAGAACAAAAUUGAUGAGGAUCUAUUUUAAAAGCAAAUAAAUAAACAGGUAGGCUAUUAAGGCUACGAGAAGGUGGGAAAAAUAGGCUACCAUUUAAGGGUUUACUGAGAUUAAGGGUGUCAGGGGAAGUCGUCAACGUAGGCAGCAGAGUUUCAUACUUGCGUUCUCCUUUAAUCAAAACCACUUGAAGUUGAUUUAAAGUACUAGUUUGAGUUUCCCAUCUCAUACGGAUCCUUGAACCCUUGUUCAACCACAGAGAAAAUCCCUAAAGGGAACCAAAAAAUUUUGCGAAAACAACACUCAAUUUUUUCGAAGAAACACGUAUCAGCCAAACAAAAUGGUAAACAGAAAUGAAGGAUUUUGAUGUCACCUUUCGACUGUAAGACGCAACAAUCAUAUAAUCUGAUACGCUCCAAUUGGUUUCGAAACUCAGUUCUGGCUUCUCAGAGAACCCAUAUAGAAGAACCCCUUUCUUAUCAUCGUCUCUCACUUCAACCUGCUCUACAAACACAGAACUUGCCUUCAUCAAACGUGAUGAGCUAGGUCCGAGCACCAUAUGGCGAUCAGCAUAAUAACCAUAUCGCAAACUCACUGAAAAUGCCACAUAUCCAUAGAGUCAAGGGGACAAGUAAGCGUCCCCAGGAUUCUUUCCAUCGCCAAGAAUAGAUAGGAGCUGGUGGCAACACCGGCCUGAACAUGGCUGCUUCGAGCAGAAUGAAUGGAGAGGGAGAGGGAGAGGGACAGAGAAAGAGGGCGUGUGGGAGAGAGGGAGAGGGAGAGGUUGAGAGAGAGAAAC